rnacentral:rRNA from 1 species
GACGAACGCUGGCGGCGUGCUUAACACAUGCAAGUCGAACGGAAAGGCCCUGCUUGCAGGGUACUCGAGUGGCGAACGGGUGAGUAACACGUGGGUGAUCUGCCCUGCACUUCGGGAUAAGCCUGGGAAACUGGGUCUAAUACCGGAUAGGAGCCAUUUUUAGUGUGAUGGUUGGAAAGUUUUUUCGGUGUAGGAUGAGCUCGCGGCCUAUCAGCUUGUUGGUGGGGUAAUGGCCUACCAAGGCGGCGACGGGUAGCCGGCCUGAGAGGGUGGACGGCCACAUGGGGAGUGGGAACGGGCCCGGCCCCCGAGGGGGGGAGGGGGGGGGAAAUAUGGCAAAGGGGGGGCAGGCUUGAUGCCGCGCCGCGGGGGGGGGGAGGACGGCCUUCGGUUUGAAAACCCUUUCCGCUGGGAACGAAGUUUUUGGGACGGUACCUAGAUAAAAAGCCCCGGCUAACUACGUG